CACGCCGUAAACGAUGGAUACUAGCUGUUGGGCGCAAGUUCAGUGGCUAAGCGAAAGUGAUAAGUAUCCCACCUGGGGAGUACGUUCGCAAGAAUGAAACUCAAAGGAAUUGACGGGGACCCGCACAAGCGGUGGAUGAUGUGGUUUAAUUCGAUGCAACGCGAAAAACCUUACCCACCUUUGACAUGUACGGAAUCCUUUAGAGAUAGAGGAGUGCUCGAAAGAGAGCCGUAACACAGGUGC
rnacentral:rRNA from 1 species